GACGAGGGGUCCUAGCGUUGUUCGGAAUCACUGGGCGUAAAGCGUAUGUAGGCGGCUUUUCAAGUCAGGUGUGAAAUCCCAUGGCUUAACCAUGGAACUGCAUUUGAUACUGUAAAGCUUGAGUAUUGGAGAGGAUGGUAGAAUUCCUGGUGUAGUGGUGAAAUACGUAGAUAUCAGGAGGAAUACCGGUGGCGAAGGCGGCCAUCUGGCCAAAUACUGACGCUGAGAUACGAAAGUGUGGGGAUCAAACAGG
rnacentral:rRNA from 1 species